UCCGGUUUGUCACCGGCAGUCUCAUUAGAGUGCUCUUUCGUAGCAACUAGGGACAAGGGUUGCGCUCGUUGCGGGACUUAACCCAACAUCUCACGACACGAGCUGACGACAGCCAUGCAGCACCUGUGUUACGGCUCCCUUUCGGGCACACCCCCAUCUCUGAGGGCUUCCGUACAUGUCAAGGGUAGGUAAGGUUCUUCGCGUUGCAUCGAAUUGAACCACAUGCUCCACUGCUUGUGCGGGCCCCCGUCAAUUCCUUUGAGUUUCAACCCUGCGAUCGUACUCCCCAGGUGGAAUACUUAAUGCGUUAGCUUCGACACUGAAUUUUUACAUCCAACGUCUAGUAUUCAUCGUUUAGGGCGUGGACUAC
rnacentral:misc_RNA from 1 species